UGCCUGCCCUGUGACCAUGAGUUCAACGGCCGCGGUAUUUUGACCGUGCAAAGGUAGCGCAAUCACUUGUCUUUUAAAUGAAGACCCGUAUGAAUGGCAAGACGAGGGCUUAGCUGUCUCCUUUUUCAAGUCAAUGAAAUUGAUCUUCCCGUGCAGAAGCGGGAAUUCUUCCAUAAGACGAGAAGACCCUAUGGAGCUUCAGACACCAAGACAGACCACGUCAAAGCUCCCUGAUAAAGGACCGAACUAAAUGGACCCUGUCCUAAUGUCUUUGGUUGGGGCGACCACGGGGAAAUACAAAACCCCCGCGUGGAAUGGGAGCACCCUUGCUCCUACAACUGAGAGCUUCCGCUCUAAUAAACAGAACUUCUGACCAACAAGAUCCGGCAACGCCGAUCAACGAACCGAGUUACCCUAGGGAUAACAGCGCAAUCCUCUUUUAGAGCCCAUAUCGAC
rnacentral:rRNA from 1 species